rnacentral:rRNA from 1 species
GGAAUAUUGGUCAAUGGGCGAAAGCCUGAACCAGCAAUGCCGCGUGAGUGAUGAAGGCCUUCGGGUUGUAAAGCUCUGUCGGGAGGAAAGAAAAACUCGUCUAAUAGACGAGCUUGACGGUACCUCCAAAGGACGCACCGGCUAACUCUGUGCCAGCAGCCGCGGUAAUACAGAGGGUGCAAGCGUUGUUCGGAAUUACUGGGCGUAAAGCGCGUGUAGGCGGUUCUGUAAGUCGGACGUGAAAUCCCUCGGCUCAACCGAGGAACUGCGUCCGAUACUGUAGAACUUGAGUAUCGGAGGGGAUGGCGGAAUUCCCGGUGUAGAGGUGAAAUUCGUAGAUAUCGGGAGGAACACCUGUGGCGAAGGCGGCCAUCUGGAAGAUUACUGACGCUGAGACGCGAAAGCGUGGGGAGCAAA